AGUCAUUAGUGGAUUGAAUACAAAUAUUUAUAGUAUAAAUUAUCUACAGUAUAAUCAUCUUUCAUGCAGCCUGUACUAACUUUGACAAAUUUAGGUUGUUACUCAGGCUGAACCUUUGGCUCCCAGAGGAGAUGCAGCUUCACUCUCAAGGCAUAGACUUUGCAUCCUCCUGAGCACCACCAGAUAUCUCUACUGAAGUCCACAGAACAAGACUAUUGGACUACAUGUUCUGUAUGUUCUCUAACAAAUAUU
ensembl:lncRNA novel transcript